CAGGUGUCAGAAGCGGUCGCUGCCCGAUGUAGGCGGCGCUGCCGACGCGUGCUUCGCGUGCGACUUCCUCGGCCACAUGUUCGGCCACAGCUGCAAGGUUAUAGGUGCCACACGCAACUCGCAGCCCACCUGCUUCAAUUGUUUGCUGAGGGACGGUACAUUAAGGAGAAGGCCACGGCGAUGUUACGUUAAAUGCGUUGGAAAGGAUGAGCUCCUGCCUGAGCACGCCAAUCAUUCAUCGCAGACAGAACAACACGUCACUCUAGUCUGGUGCCCAAGGCCAAAUGUUUCAACACGCAAUGUUGAAGUGCAGGUGGACCUCGUGUGACAGCUGUGUCAAUCUGCGAUGAGUACCCUGGCGAAAUUCGGUGCGCACUGCAACGACCUGCAGCCCGACAUCCUGAUGUUGCUUCGAGUGCUCGCUCCUCCACAUGGACGAUGAGGUGUGCGACCGGCCUGUCUACUUCCGUCAUGUUUCGAGGCAACGGCAGAAGGCCCUGGGCACUCGCUACAUU